AGAAGAAAGCAGACAGUCCAUGUGAUAAGUAAAACAUGUAAUAAGUGAGCGUGUGCAGAAGUAAAGCAGAUAAGGGAUGGGGAGGAUUGAGAGUCUGGAAUGGUAAAUCAUUGGUCAGAGAGGGGCCUCAUGGAGAAUAUGCAGCUUGGACAGUGACUUGAACUGUUGCGAGCGUGGGACUUGUGGCUGUGUGUGGAAAGAGCUUUUGAGACAGUGUUUGCAAGUGCAGACACUCAGGUGACAGCUGCCUAUCGGUUCAAGCAUUUGCAAAGACACCCGUGCUGCUGCAAGAGAGAGAGCACAGCAAAGAUGAUAAGGCAGCACCUGGGGCUCCGGUCACCUGGAGCUUUCCUUGUCAAGUCAUCGAGAGGGUUCCUGUCUACUUUGUUUGAGGUGGGAAGACCAUGGCGGGGUUUAAACAGAAGGGGACACCACCUAAAGGAGAAAAUUGACUUUAAUCUUUUCUCUCUCUCUCUCUCUUUUUUUUUUGUCUUUUUGUCCAUUUUUAGGGCCAAAUCCGUGGCAUAUGGAGGAUCUCAGGCUGGGGGUCCGAUAGGAGCUACAGCUGCCGGCCUACACCACAGCCACAGCAACAUAGGAUCCGAGCCGCGUCUGUGACCUACAUCACAGCUCUGUCAAAGCCGGAUCCUUAACUCGCAGAGCGAGGCCAGGGAUCGAACGCGAAACCUCAUGGUUCCUAGUGGGAUUCGUUUCUGCUGCGCCAUGACGGGAACUCCUAAUCUCUUCUCUUGAUGUGGCCUCCUCUUUGCCUUCUGGAGUAGGAUAUCUUUUUCAAAGUUUGCAGUCUGCUUGGUUGAAGGUUGUUCAGCAUUUGGUUGUAAUUUUGUUGUAUUUAUGAGAGAAGGUGAGCUCCAGUCCUUCUAUUCUGCCUUUUUAAUCCCCUCUGUUGGGCCAGGGAUUGAGCUGAACCACAGCUACAACCUACGCUGCAGCUGUGGCAAUGCCAGACCUUUAGCCCACUGUGCCAGGCUAGGGGCCAAACCUGUGGGUCUGCAGUGAUCCAAGCCACUGCCAUCGGAUUCUUCUUUUUUUUUUUUUUUUUUUUUGUAAGAAAUAGGGAGUUCCCGGGCCAGGGAUCAGAUCCGAGAUAUAGUUGAGACCUAAGCCGUAGUUGAGACCUAAGCCAUAGCUGAGGCAAUGCUGGAUCCUUACCCACUGUGCUGGACUGGGGAUCAAACCUGUGUCCCUGCGCUACAGUGGGAACUCCUGCAGUUGGAUUCCUUUUUUUGUUUUGUUUUGUCUUUUUCGGGCCAAACCUGAAGCAUGUGGAGGUUCCCAGGCUAGGGGUUGAAUCAGAGCUGCAGCCGCUGGUCUAGGCCACAGCCACAGCCACAGCAAUGCCAUAUCCAAGCCUAUCUGUGACCUACACCACAGCCCAUGGCAACGCCAGAUCCUUAACCCACUGAGCGAGGCCAGGGAUCCAACCUGCAUCCUUAAGGAUAUUAGAUUCACUUCUGCUGAGCCACGAUGGGAACUCCGCUGCAGUUGGAUUCUUAACAAACUGCGCCACCGUGGGAACUCUGCUUAUCUUUUUAUAUAUAGUAGUUUAUUUCUGUUAAUCCCAUACCCCACUUUGUCCCUCCCUCCUUCCUUUUCCUCUUUGAUUACCAUGAAUUUGUUUUAUCUGUGCGUCUGUUUCUGUUUUGCAUAUUUAUUCAUUUGAAUUGUUUUUUCGAUUCCAUGUAUAAAAGUGAUACACAGCUUUGUCUUUAUCUGACCUAUUUUACUAGCCAUGUUAUUAUCUGGGUCCAUCUACGAUGCUGUAAAUGGCAGUAUUUUCUUUUUUAUGGCUGAGUAAUAUUCUGUUAUGUGUGUAUAUGUAUGUAUCACAUCUUUUUUUUUUUUUGUCUUUUUGUCUUUUUUCUAGGGCCACUCCCACGGCAUAUGGAGGUUCCCAGGCUAGAGGUCUAAUUGGAGCUGUAGCUGCCAGCCUACACAGAGCCAUGGCAAUGCCGAAUCCUUAACCCACUGAGCAAGACCAGGGAUCAAAGCCACAACCUCAUGGUUUCUCGUCGGAUUCGUUAACCACUGAGCCACGAUGGGAACCCCUGUAUCACAUCUUCUUAAUCAUAAUGUCUGUUGAUGGGCUCUUGGGUUGCUUCCAUGUCUUGGUUAUUGUAAAUAGUGCUGCUGUGAACAUUGAGGUGCAUGUAUCUUUUUGAGUUAGUAUUCCCGAUUUUUUGGAUAUAUACCAGGAGUGGAAUUGCUUGAUUUUAUGGUAGUUCUAUUUUUAGUUUUUGAGGAACCUCCAUACUGUUUUCCAUAGUGUCCGCACCACUUUACCUUCCCAGGGUUCUCUUUUCUCUGCAUCCUCUCCAGCAUUUGUUGUUUGUUAGAUUUUUUCUUUUUUCAUUUUUGGCUACCCUGUGGCCUUCGGAGAUCCCAGGCCAGAGAUCAAAUCCGAGCUAUAGUUGCGACCUAAGCCACAGUUGCGGCAAUGCCAGACCCUUAACCCAGUCUGCCAGGCCAGGGAUCAAAUCCACGUCCCCACGUUCCCAGGGCACUGCUGAUCCCACUGUGCCACAGCAGGCGCUCCUGUGGACUUCCUGAUCAUGGCCAUUUUGACUUGUGUGAGCUGGUACCUUACUGUGGUUUCGAUUUGCAUUUAUCUAAAAUUAGUGAUGUUGGAGUUCCCGUGGCAGUGCAUUGGAAACGAAUCCGACUAGGAACCAUGAGGUUGUGAGUUCAAUCCCUGGCCUCAUUCAGGGGGUUAAGGAUCUGGUGUUGCUGUGAGCUGUGGUAUAGGUUGAAGAUUCGGCUCAGAUCUGGCAUAGCUGUGGUUGUGGUGUAGGCCGGCAGCUGUAGCUUGGGAUCGACCCCUAGCCUGGGAACUUCCCGAUGCUGCAGGUGUGGCCCUAAAGAGCAAAAAAAAAAUUGUAGAUAAAUAAAAUUAGUGGCGUUGAGUAUCUUUUCAUGUGCCUUUUGGCCGUCUGUAUGUCUUCUUUGGGAAAAUGUCUAUUCAGGUCUUUUGCCUAUUUUUUUGACAUUGUUUUUUUUUUAAUAUAUUUUUUUUAUUUUCCCACUGUACAGCAAGGGGGUCAGGUUAUCCUUACAUGUAUACAUUACAAUUACCUUUUUUCCCCCUUGACAUUUUUUUUUUUUUGAUAUUGUUAAAUGAGCUAUUUUUUUGUGUGUGUAUGUGUGUGUUUUGUUUUUGUUUUUUGUUUUUUAGCUGCACCUGCAGCAUGCAGAAAUUCCUGAGCCAGGGAUCAAACCCAUGCCACAGCAGUGACCUGAGCUGCUGCAGUGACGACACUGGAUCCUUCACCUGUUUUGCCACAGGGGAACUCCUGUAUAUUUUGGAUAUUAACCCCCUUGUUUGGAGUUCCCGCUGUGGUACAGUGGGUUAAGAACCCAACUGCAGUGGCUCAGGUCACUGCAGAGGCCUGGGUUCUACCCCUGGCCUGGGAACUUCUAUAUGCCAUGGGUGUGGCCUUUAAAAAACAAAACCCUUGUCUGUUGCUUUUUUUUUUUUUUUUUUUGUCUUUUUGCCUUUUCUAGGGCCGCUCCCUCAGCAUAUGGAGGUUCCCAGGCUAGGGUUCCAAUCAGAGCUGUAGCCACCGGCCUAUGCCAGAGCCACAGCAACGCGGGAUCCGAGCUGUGUCUGUGACCUACACCACAGCUCACGGCAAUGCCAGAUCCUUAACCCACUGAGCAAGGUCAGGGAUCAAACCCGCAACCUCAUGGUUCCUAGUCGGAUUCGUUAACCACUGCGCCACAAUGGGAACUCCUAUCUGUUGCAUUAUUUGUAAGUAUCUUCUCCCAUUCCAUAAAUUGUCCUUUUGUUUUGUCAAUGGUUCCCUUUGCUGUGCAAAAUUAAAUGAUUUUUAAUAAUCAUUUAAGACUAUGUCUCUUCGAUAUGUAUAAAAUAAACACACCUUAAUGUUUG
rnacentral:lncRNA from 1 species